rnacentral:rRNA from 1 species
AGCGAACGCUGGCGGCAGGCCUAACACAUGCAAGUCGAACGAAGUCUUCGGACUUAGUGGCGGACGGGUGAGUAACACGUGGGAACGUACCUUUUGGUUCGGAACAACUCAGGGAAACUUGAGCUAAUACCGGAUGAGCCCUUAGGGGGAAAGAUUUAUCGUCGAAAGAGCGGCCCGCGUUAGAUUAGCUAGUUGGUGAGGUAAAGGCUCACCAAGGCUACGAUCUAUAGCUGGUCUGAGAGGAUGAUCAGCCACACUGGGACUGGGACACGGCCCAGACUCCUACGGGAGGCAGCAGUGGGGAAUCUUGCGCAAUGGGCGAAAGCCUGACGCAGCCAUGCCGCGUGAAUGAUGAAGGUCUUAGGAUUGUAAAAUUCUUUUACCAGGGACGAUAAUGACGGUACCUGGAGAAAAAGCCCCGGCUAACUUCGUGCCAGCAGCCGCCGUAACAC